rnacentral:rRNA from 1 species
GACGAACGCUGGCGGCGUGCUUAACACAUGCAAGUCGAACGGAAAGGCCCUGCUUUUGUGGGGUGCUCGAGUGGCGAACGGGUGAGUAACACGUGAGUAACCUGCCCUUGACUUUGGGAUAACUUCAGGAAACUGGGGCUAAUACCGGAUAGGAGCUCCUGCUGCAUGGUGGGGGUUGGAAAGGUUCGGCGGUUGGGGAUGGACUCGCGGCUUAUCAGCUUGUUGGUGGGGUAGUGGCUUACCAAGGCUUUGACGGGUAGCCGGCCUGAGAGGGUGACCGGCCACAUUGGGACUGAGAUACGGCCCAGCCUCCUACGGGAGGCAGCAGUGGGGAAUAUUGCACAAUGGGCGGAAGCAUGAUGCAGCAACGCCGCGUGCGGGAUGACGGCCUUCGGGUUGUAAACCGCUUUCGCCUGUGACGAAGCGUGAGUGACGGUAAUGGGUAAAGAAGCACCGGCUAACUACGUG